UAGGGAAUCUUCCGCAAUGGACGCAAGUCUGACGGAGCAACGCCGCGUGAGUGAAGAAGGAUUUCGGUUCGUAAAACUCUGUUGUUAGAGAAGAACAGCGCAUAGAGUAACUGUUAUGCGUGUGACGGUAUCUAACCAGAAAGCCACGGCUAACUACGUGCCAGCAGCCGCGGUAAUACGUAGGUGGCAAGCGUUGUCCGGAUUUAUUGGGCGUAAAGCGAGCGCAGGCGGUCAAUUAAGUCUGAUGUGAAAGCCCCCGGCUCAACCGGGGAGGGUCGUUGGAAACUGGUUGACUUGAGUGCAGAAGAGGAGAGUGGAAUUCCAGGUGUAGCGGUGAAAUGCGUAGAUAUAUGGAGGAACACCAGUGGCGAAGGCGACUCUCUGGUCUGUAACUGACGCUGGGGCUCGAAAGCGUGGGUAGCAAACAGG
rnacentral:rRNA from 1 species